AAGGAUCAUUACAGUAGUCGCCCGGGUUGCCGCAAGGCCUCCCGGGUAACCUACCACCCUUUGUUUAUUACACUUUGUUGCUUUGGCAAGCCUGCCCUCGGGCUGCUGGCUCCGGCCGGCGAGCGCUUGCCAGAGGACCUAAACUCUGUUUGUCUAUACUGUCUGAGUACUAUAUAAUAGUUAAAACUUUCAACAACGGAUCUCUUGGUUCUGGCAUCGAUGAAGAACGCAGCGAAAUGCGAUAAGUAAUGUGAAUUGCAGAAUUCAGUGAAUCAUCGAAUCUUUGAACGCACAUUGCGCCCCCUGGUAUUCCGGGGGGCAUGCCUGUCCGAGCGUCAUUACAACCCUCAAGCUCAGCUUGGUGUUGGGCCCCGCCGCCCCGGCGGGCCCUAAAGUCAGUGGCGGUGCCGUCCGGCUCCGAGCGUAGUAAUUCUUCUCGCUCUGGAGGUCCGGUCGUGUGCUCGCCAGCAACCCCCAAUUUUUUUCAGGUUGACCUCGGAUCAGGUAGGGAUACCCGCUGAACUUAA
rnacentral:rRNA from 1 species